UACAGAGGGGGCAAGCGUUGUUCGGAAUUACUGGGCGUUAAAGGGCGCGUAGGCGGCCUUCUAAGUCGAACGUGAAAUCCCCGGGCUCAACCCGGGAACUGCGUCCGAUACUGGAAGGCUUGAAUCCGGGAGAGGGAUGCGGAAUUCCAGGUGUAGCGGUGAAAUGCGUAGAUAUCUGGAGGAACACCGGUGGCGAAGGCGGCGAUCCUGGACCGGUAUUGACGCUGAGGCGCGAAAGCGUGGGGAGCAAACAGGA
rnacentral:rRNA from 1 species